rnacentral:lncRNA from 13 species
CUCAACACCUCCCUCCCAACCUGUUUUAGUUUCCUGUGGCUGCCAGAAAAAAAUUGCCACAAACUGGGAGGCCUCAUGGAACAUGCAUUUAGUCCGUGGCUGUUCUGGGCUGGAAGUCCAGAAUCAAGGUGCCAGCGGGCCAUGCCCCCUCGGAGGCCGCCUGCGACUCUCCCCGCCUCUGCUUGGCUUCCCGAAGCUCCCGGCCUUCCUCGGCGCGUGACCGCAAUGCUCCAGUCUUUCUCUGCAUCGUCACAUGGGCUGCCUCCGUGUGUCUCUCUGUACCCCUUCCUUUUCUUAUGGGAACACCCAUCAUCGGAACGAAGGCCUGUUCAAGCCCAGUGGGACCUCAACUAACCACAUCUGUGAGGGCCUAUUUCCAAAUGACAGUACAGUUGCAGCUUCCAGAGGAUGUGAGUUGUGCAGGGGCACAAUUCCAGUCAAUAAACAGCCUGAUCAGCAUCUGGAACUGAAAACCGCCCCUUCCUUUCACAGUGCAAGCUGACUCCUGGGCAGGACCGACCUGUGGAUGCCGAUGCGUCUCCCGGUGCCCUCCCGCCCCCUCCCUCACGGCUCAUCUCCUUAUGGGGUCAUGUGACACCCACCCCAGUGUGUGGGGCGGGGGAACCACCCCAGGCAGGUGCCUCCCAAGCUGCCUGUGUGUGCUCUCCCGAUCCCGGGAGGAGGCAGCCCCACCUCCUUGCCAGCUUCCAGCAAACAGACCCAGACGCCAUUACUUUGGCCAUGGAAGAACUAAGAGAGGUGCCCUGGAGACUCCUGAGCUUCAGGUAUGUUCCUCCCUGUCCUCAUUGUGUGUUAGCAGCCUAGUUUCCCCUUGCUGAUCGGAAUCAAUCGCGCCAGCCAGUAGAGUCAUUUCUUUUCUUUUUGUGUUGAUUCAGGACGUAAGGAGUCCUAAACAGCCAGGCGAUGGUCUCUUCUUCCAAUUCAGUGAAACCAUCGCUGUGUCUGCUAGUGACAGCAUUCCACCGGACUUCUGAACAGUACAAACUGGGAAGCUGCAUGGAGUGUGACAGGAGCAACUUGGGGGAUUCCUAUAGAUGUAAUCCCUACUGUGUGCUAAGUACUGAAGAUGGCUGCUCCGUGUCACCCUCCCUGCAGCCUGGCAAGGUAGGUGCUGUCACCCCCAGCCAAGCAGGGUGGGGGCGGCAGGGAAGAAAACGAGGCUCAAGGAGGCAAAGAGACUUGACCAAGGGGCUUGACUCAAAACAGAGGAAAGAUAUGCCCAGCAUUCCUGUCCCUUGGCGUGGGGAGGUCCUUUCACAGGGGUGGAGGCAGAGCUGAGUGCAGGGGUGAGUGCAGAGGGCUGGCUCCCCAAGAGAACGCAAGUCCGGCUGGGCAAAUAAUGGCCCCUCUGUGGGAUGGGGGUGUUUCCCUCCUGCUGGGAAGCAGGGGUCCCCCUUUGAAGGGGACAGGGAAGACACUCUGGAAUGACAUUUGCCACCUACCACUCUAAUGAUCAGAGUGGGAGUAAAUGGAUCUGGGCCUCAGAGUAAUUGGCCGGGUAACCCUGAGCCUCGGCGGGGCCCAGGCCGUAGAGCCUGGGGACUUAAUGAAGCAAACUCCCCCCACAGGGUCGGAGGCCACCUCCAGCCCCACUGCAGAGGACAAAACUUUUCAAGCAGCUUUUCAAGGUUCCAGAAAGAAAGAAGAGGGGGCAGAAAGGGAAGGCGUUGUUUUCAUGCCGCUUCCUUCAUUUGCAUAAGGUGAAAAAAUGUUUCCAUAGAAACAACCAGAGU